AGCGAACGCUGGCGGCAGGCCUAACACAUGCAAGUCGAACGAACCUUUCGGGGUUAGUGGCGGACGGGUGAGUAACACGUGGGAACGUGCCUUUAGGUUCGGAAUAACUCAGGGAAACUUGUGCUAAUACCGAAUGUGCCCUUCGGGGGAAAGAUUAAUCGCCUUUAGAGCGGCCCGCGUCUGAUUAGCUAGUUGGUUGAGGUAAUGGCUCACCAAGGCGACGAUCAGUAGCUGGUCUGAGAGGAUGAUCAGCCACAUUGGGACUGAGACACGGCCCAAACUCCUACGGGAGGCAGCAGUGGGGAAUCUUGCGCAAUGGGCGAAAGCCUGACGCAGCCAUGCCGCGUGAAUGAUGAAGGUCUUAGGAUUGUAAAAUUCUUUCACCGGGGACGAUAAUGACGGUACCCGGAAAAGAAGCCCCGGCUAACUUCGUG
rnacentral:rRNA from 1 species